AUGAACGGCACGGACGCGCAGAAGCCGCCGGAGACCUGCUGCGGCCCGCUCCGGGACGCCGUGAAGAACGAGAGGGCCUGCCUCUGCGCGCUCUACGCCUCGCCCGAGAUCUUCAAGGCCUUCAACAUCAACGUCACCGACGCGCUCCGCCUCUCCAAGCGCUGCGGCGUCACCGAGGACGUCAGCAGCUGCCCCAG
rnacentral:rRNA from 1 species